rnacentral:rRNA from 1 species
AAUGAACGUUGGCGGCAUGGAUUAGGCAUGCAAGUCGCGCGAUAAGAUUCCUUCGGGAAUCCGAAAGCGGCGAAAGGGAGAGUAACGCGUAGAUGAUCUACCCCGAGGACUGGGAGUAGCGGCGGGAAACGUGCCGGUAAUACCAGAUGAUGUCUCCGGACCAAAGGUGUGAUUCCGCCUUGGGAUGAAUCUGCGUCCUAUUAGCUAGUUGGUGAGGUAACGGCUCACCAAGGCGAAGAUGGGUACCGGGUGUGAGAGCAUGACCCGGCUCACUGGGACUGAGACACUGCCCACGACACCUACGGGUGGCUGCAGUCGAGAAUCUUCGGCAAUGGGCGAAAGCCUGAUCGAGCAAUGCCGACGUGCGGGAGUGAAGGG